CGAUAGGGGACCUCGAGUGCCAGGUUACAAAUCUGGCUGUCGUGAUGCCUAAAAAGCAUUGCAUAGCAAGGGCCGGGCAAGACCGGUGCCAGCCGCCGCGGUAACACCGGCGGCUCGAGUGGUAACCGUUAUUAUUGGGUCUAAAGGGUCUGUAGCCGGCCGGGUAAGUCUCUUGGGAAAUCUGGCAGCUUAACUGUCAGGCUUUCAGGAGAUACUGUCUGGCUCGAGGCCGGGAGAGGUGAGAGGUACUUCAGGGGUAGGGGUGAAAUCUUGUAAUCCUUGAAGGACCACCAGUGGCGAAGGCGUCUCACCAGAACGGACCUGACGGCAAGGGACGAAAGCUAGGGGCACGAACCGGAUUAGAUACCCGGGUAGUCCUAGCCGUAAACGAUACUCGCUAGGUGUCGACAACGGUGCGACCGUUGUCGGUGCCGUAGGGAAGCCGUGAAGCGAGCCACCUGGGAAGUACGGCCGCAAGGCUGAAACUUAAAGGAAUUGGCAGGGGAGCACCACAACGGGUGGAGCUUGCGGUUUAAUUGGAUUCAACGCCGGAAAUCUUACCGGGACCGACGGCAAUAUGAAGGCCAGGCUGAAGACUUUGCCGGAUUAGCUGAGAGGUGGUGCAUGGCCGUCGUCAGUUCGUACUGUGAAGCAUCCUGUUAAGUCAGGCAACGAGCGAGACCCACGCCCACAGUUGCCAGCGUACUCUCCGGAGUGACGGGUACACUGUGGGGACCGCCGCUGCUAAAGCGGAGGAAGGAAUGGGCAACGGUAGGUCAGUAUGCCC
rnacentral:rRNA from 1 species